rnacentral:rRNA from 1 species
UACAGAGGGUGCGAGCGUUGUCCGGAAUCACUGGGCGUAAAGGGCGCGUAGGUGGCGCCCCAAGUCCGUGGUGAAAGCUCGAUGCUCAACAUCGAGUCGGCCACGGAAACUGGGGGGCUCGAGCACUGUAGAGGCAGAUGGAAUUCCGGGUGUAGCGGUGGAAUGCGUAGAGAUCCGGAAGAACACCGGUGGCGAAGGCGGUCUGCUGGGCAGUAGCUGACACUGAGGCGCGACAGCGUGGGGAG